GACUGAGCUUCCUCUCGCCUUUAAGCACUUCCUAAACAAGAUGAAAACCUUACAAAUGCCGGAAAGUCGGCCACUGGAGCGCUUGGUUCAUUUCAGUUUUCACAGUGGUCCCCCCUUGUCCGCAGUUUUACUUUUGGGUUACCCAGGGUCCAAGAAUAUUAAGCGGAAGAUUCCCAAAAUAAACAGUUUGUGCGUUUUAAACUGCGCGCUGUUGUGAGUGGCGUGAUGAACUCUCUCGCUGGCCUGCUCCGACCUGCCUAGGAGGGAAGCGUCCCUCCGGCCACCCUCCGGCCACGCUCCCUGCCCCGGGUCACGUCGCCAUCUCGGCCUCGAGCGCUGGUGUUCAAGUCCCCCUUAUUCUACGUAACAGUGGCCCCCAAACACCAGAGCAGUGGUGCCGGCAACCCACAGAAGCCACAAGUGUUUCCUUUAAGUGAAAAGGUCAAAGUUCCCUCCUUACUUUGGAAAGAGAGAAACUGUGCUAACGUUGCUAAGGUCUGCAGUAAGAACAAAUCUUCUGCCCGUGAGAUUGUGAAGGAGGAAAAAGAAAUCCGUGCUAGUUGCUGUUGCACCUCAGACGGCAAAGGUUGCAGCCACCGUGAGUGGUAAGCCCUCGCUGUCAGGAGCUGGUGCCAUCUCUCUGGGCCCGUCUCCCCAUCUUCAAAACGGAGCCCGAGGGCCACCCGCUGUUCAAGACGAAAGAUGAGAAACAGGCAGAGAGAAGCAAAGAGCUGCUCUUGGUCCCACUUGCCAGCUCCCCGCCUGUCCACCUGGGUACCGGCCCCAGCACCUGGCCCAGCGCUUGUGAAAGGACCGUAGGGCCUGCAGGGGGCAGGACAGAGGGUCCGCAUGGCCUCGCCCCCCUCUUCGAUGGCAGGGGCCGGCUGGGUGGUCCCCUUUACACACAGGGGGCCAGGCAAGGCCAUGGCCAGCGCGCCAGGUGCGGGGACACCCCAGGAUCCCAAUCCCGAGUCCAGGAGAGUCUGGGACCGGGCGCGAGCCCCCAGGUUAACGCUGCGCCCCAGCAGCGCGGAGGGGACCCGUAGGUGCAGAGCCGGGAAGGGACCUGCCUCCGGUCUCACCUCUCGGUCCCGAUCUG